rnacentral:lncRNA from 1 species
GGGGGAAGACACUGUAUCUCUUAAGCCUGUUUUUGUUAUCCAGAACCAAUAACUGAACAGUUGGAAUACUCUGAUACCUGAAAGCCUGAGAGGAAGAGGAGAAUAAGAAGAGGAGAAAGAAAUCACUGAAACCCAUGGGAAGGCAGCACUCCACGCGAGGCCGUGGUCCGAGGCUCCUUGCUUCAUCUUUUUGUUUAUCCUAUUGCUAACUGCCGUGGGAGUUUGGGUAGCGGUUUUGGUGACACCUGAGUCAAAGGAAAUAGCUGUGUUGAUCCCAAGGCCAGCUGCCCACAGCAGCAGUGGCUCUGAGUCUUUGGAGAGGCCUUGUUGAUUCUGAUGGGAACGGUGACUAAGCCCUGACAGGCAGCAUGCUCCAGGUUGCACUGAGGGCUGUGCAACCAUCCCUGGACCCUGGAUCACCGAGACUCUCAUGUUGGCAACUUUUUUUCACGGAGCACAGACGUUUUCUUUUUCAUACAUGGACGUUGGAAGGCCGAGAAAGUGGGUGUGAGGAGCAGGGUGAUACGCAGAGUUGCGGUUGGGUUAGGGGACACACAAGUCUCGGGAUGGCCACGUGUGUGUUCCUGGCUCUCUGGACAGCGGACUUGGGCUGCUGGCCAGGGAAACCCUCAAGUGAGACAACGCGAUUCCAGACCUCAGUAAAGCCCCGCGGAUGGAGCUAUGAGGCUGGGAAGAUCCAUGCCUUCUGCCACCGCCUGAUUCCUCCUCCUGGAGUCGGAGAUGGACACCGCACAGAGGCUCUCACGAAUAUGGACAGCAUCUGUUUUAAGAGACAGGGAAACACUUUACACUGGUAUGGAUCACUUCUGCGCCGGUGUAGGUCAGAUUCAAGGACAGAAACCAAGGCAGGGAGGCGAAAGCCCCUGGGGUGGGGAGGCCCCGUGGGGGAACUGGACACAAGAAAGAAUUAG